rnacentral:rRNA from 1 species
AUGAACGCUAGCUACAGGCUUAACACAUGCAAGUCGAGGGGCAGCAUGGUCUUAGCUUGCUAAGGCCGAUGGCGACCGGCGCACGGGUGAGUAACACGUAUCCAACCUGCCGUCUACUCUUGGACAGCCUUCUGAAAGGAAGAUUAAUACAAGAUGGCAUCAUGAGUCCACAUGUUCACAUGAUUAAAGGUAUUCCGGUAGACGAUGGGGAUGCGUUCCAUUAGAUAGUAGGCGGGGUAACGGCCCACCUAGUCUUCGAUGGAUAGGGGUUCUGAGAGGAAGGUCCCCCACAUUGGAACUGAGACACGGUCCAAACUCCUACGGGAGGCAGCAGUGAGGAAUAUUGGUCAAUGGGCGAGAGCCUGAACCAGCCAAGUAGCGUGAAGGAUGACUGCCCUAUGGGUUGUAAACUUCUUUUGUAAAGGAAUAAAGUCGGGUAUGGAUACCCGUUUGCAUGUACUUUAUGAAUAAGGAUCGGCUAACUCCGUGCCAGCAGCCGCGGUAAUACGGAGGAUCCGAGCGUUAUCCGGAUUUAUUGGGUUUAAAGGGAGCGUAGAUGGAUGUUUAAGUCAGUUGUGAAAGUUUGCGGCUCAACCGUAAAAUUGCAGUUGAUACUGGAUAUCUUGAGUGCAGUUGAGGCAGGCGGAAUUCGUGGUGUAGCGGUGAAAUGCUUAGAUAUCACGAAGAACUCCGAUUGCGAAGGCAGCCUGCUAAGCUGCAACUGACAUUGAGGCUCGAAAGUGUGGGUAUCAAACAGGAUUAGAUACCCUGGUAGUCCACACGGUAAACGAUGAAUACUCGCUGUUUGCGAUAUACGGCAAGCGGCCAAGCGAAAGCGUUAAGUAUUCCACCUGGGGAGUACGCCGGCAACGGUGAAACUCAAAGGAAUUGACGGGGGCCCGCACAAGCGGAGGAACAUGUGGUUUAAUUCGAUGAUACGCGAGGAACCUUACCCGGGCUUAAAUUGCAGAUGAAUUACGGUGAAAGCCGUAAGCCGCAAGGCAUCUGUGAAGGUGCUGCAUGGUUGUCGUCAGCUCGUGCCGUGAGGUGUCGGCUUAAGUGCCAUAACGAGCGCAACCCUUAUCGAUAGUUACCAUCAGGUGAUGCUGGGGACUCUGUCGAGACUGCCGUCGUAAGAUGUGAGGAAGGUGGGGAUGACGUCAAAUCAGCACGGCCCUUACGUCCGGGGCUACACACGUGUUACAAUGGGGGGUACAGAGGGCCGCUACCACGCGAGUGGAUGCCAAUCCCAAAAACCUCUCUCAGUUCGGACUGGAGUCUGCAACCCGACUCCACGAAGCUGGAUUCGCUAGUAAUCGCGCAUCAGCCACGGCGCGGUGAAUACGUUCCCGGGCCUUGUACACACCGCCCGUCAAGCCAUGGGAGCCGGGGGUACCUGAAGUGCGUAACCGCGAGGAGCGCCCUAGGGUAAAACUGGUGACUGGGGCU